rnacentral:lncRNA from 1 species
GUUAUGGAUAAAAGUCUGACAAGACUUAUUAUAUUCAUAAAUAUAGAUUAUAUGUUCCUGGCCAGUUUGAAAUACACUAAAAUAUGUACAAGGCCAAAUAAAAAAAUAUGUGUUUUCUAUUUCCCUACCUAUCCUAUAUUUUAAGCUUUGAAAAAGUCUACCUUCAAGUUUUCUUUUUGUCAUUUUAAUAAGCACUGUUAAAG